rnacentral:rRNA from 1 species
UACGAAGGGGGCUAGCGUUGCUCGGAAUCACUGGGCGUAAAGCGCACGUAGGCGGAUCGCUAAGUCAGGGGUGAAAUCCUGGAGCUCAACUCCAGAACUGCCUUUGAUACUGGCAAUCUCGAGUCCGGGAGAGGUGAGUGGAACUGCGAGUGUAGAGGUGAAAUUCGUAGAUAUUCGCAAGAACACCAGUGGCGAAGGCGGCUCACUGGCCCGGUACUGACGCUGAGGUGCGAAAGCGUGGAGAGCAAACAGG